rnacentral:rRNA from 1 species
UACGGGGGGAGCAAGCGUUGUUCGGAUUUACUGGGCGUAAAGGGCGCGUAGGCGGUCUGCCAAGUCCGGGGUGAAAGCCUCCAGCUUAACUGGAGAAGUGCCUUGGAUACUGGUGGACUCGAGGGAGGCAGGGGUAGUGGGAACUUCCGGUGGAGCGGUGAAAUGCGUUGAUAUCGGAAGGAACGCCGGUGGCGAAAGCGCACUACUGGUCCUCUUCUGACGCUGAGGCGCGAAAGCCAGGGGAGCAAACGGG